CCUACGGGAGGCAGCAGUGGGGAAUAUUGGGCAAUGGGCGCAAGCCUGACCCAGCAACGUCGCGUGAAGGAAGAAGGCUCUCGGGGUGGUAACUUCCUUUUAGAGGGGAGAGCAGAAGACGAUACCUCUUGAAUAAGCCACUGCUAACUACGUGCCAGCAGCCUCGGUAAUACGUAGGUGGCAAGCGUUGACCGGAUUUACUGGGUGUAAAGGGCUUGCAGCCGGGAAGACAAGUCAGAUGUGAAAUCUGGCGGCUGAAACGCGGAACUGCAGUUGAAACUGUUUUUCUUGAGUACCGGAGAGGUCAUCGGAAUGCGUGGUGUAGCGGUGAAAUGCGUAGAUAUAAGGAAGAACACCAGUGGCGAAGGCAGAUGACUGGACGGCAACUGACGGUGAGGCGCGAAAGUGUGGGGAGCAAACAGGAUUAGAUACCCGAGUAGUC
rnacentral:rRNA from 1 species